UAUAGAACCUGUGGCUAUAAACCGAUAACAAACUUGCAGUAGAGGUCUAUUAGAAAGACCAGGUUGGUCUAAAAUAUUUGAAUGAUAGUAUAAACAGUUUGUAAUCUGUAUCUAAAGUUACUGUUUAUUUACUGCCUAUGUAAUGCUAAAGUGACGUGGAUGAGAAAUGUGAAUGAUAGUGUAUGAAAAUAGCACCCUGCUACAGUAUUUAUACUUUAUAGUGUAUGUAAAGUAAAACAAGGACAAAAGUCCCACAGGAACAACAACAUUCAGCCGCCCAUACUGCACAUGAUAAGGAACAAGAGUCUUGGAAAUUGGAUUUCCAUGUAACUGUCAGAAGUCCAGGUGUGUGUUUUCAUGGAUGAAGACGAUUCCUUAAAGAUGUUUGGUGUGUUUGCCACGUGUUCACCAUUAUCAUGGCAGAAUGGUAAAUACUUUACCGUUUUCAUUCUCUAAAAUGAAGGAAGUUUCUUCACACUGCUUAGUGCUAAUGAGGCUUUGUUAAUAUAACUUGAAUUCUCCCCAAUGAUGCCUGAACUUUGCAGUGCUUAAAUAUACAAAAUACAAUACCCACUGCAGGAUGACGAUGACAAAUCACUUUAACGUCUUCUGUCUGGUUGUUAAGACGCUGUGACAUACUACACACGAAAUGGAACAAAGGUCUUUAAAUUUGGAUGUGAGUAGAAAUUACACUUGUGAUGGUUUAGUGAAUGUUAACGUCAAAGUUAUAUUAGGUGAAAUCCAUUUACAUUGAAGUAUUAUAAUUUCAUUCAUAUCUAAUUUGCUUUUCGGCAUGAUGACAUGUUCUAUAAUUUAUUUCAGUGCUGAGUAUAGUCAGUUUGUCAGGAAAAAAAUGAACGAAGGAAUCGUCAGAAUUGACAUGCAUGUAGUAGCAAAUGUUAGAGCUGAUAUGUUUCCCUUUAAUUGUUUAUAAUUUUGGUAUUUCAGCGUUUAAUUGGUUCCGUAAGAUAUUUUAGGCUUGACAGCAAUGUUUUCAUACCAGGGUAGCUUGACAGGCAUUCUUGAUUGUAAAAUGUAUUCUGAUAUAGUAUUUAUAAGCUUUUAUGGUCUAAAACUUAGUGUAAAUGACCUAAUAAUUGCACUCUUGAGAUGUUUAACAGUUAUCGAGCUUUUUACUGGACCCUAUCUCCUUUGGUACUUUUUCUAUUUUCUUUCAGUGUAGCCCUACUUUGCCCUACCUGUUUUCAAAAGAGCCAUAUCAUCCGUACUUUUUCAUUGUUAAGUUAAAAGUGUUAUUACAUGUAUUACGAAAAAUACUUUUUUCUUAAACCCUCUUUUACAAGCUUUAUUUUCAGUUCCAUGUAAAUGUCAGAAGUCCAGGUGUGUGUUUUCACGGGUAAAGACGAUUCUUAAAAGAUGUACUGUGCCUUUGCCAAGAGUUCAGCAUGGUCAUGGCAGAAUGGUAAAAACUUAACAUAUUAUUGAGAUCCGUUUGGAUUUUAUAAAAUGAAGGAAGCUUCUGUACACGGCUUAGUACUAAUGAGUAUGAGUUAUAUAACAUAAAUUAUUCCUAAUGAUGCCUUAGCUGAGGGAACUCCAUAGUUGCCAUGCUUAAAGAUACAAAAUACAAUACCCACUGCAGGAUGACAUUUGCAAAUUACUCUGACGUCCUUUGGCUGGUUGUUAAGACGCUGUGACCUACUAUACAUGAAAUAGAACAAGAGUUAUAUUAGGUGAAAUCCAUUUACAUUGAAGUGAUAUAAUUUCAUUCAUAUCUAAUUUGCUUUUCAGCAUGAUGACAUGUUCUAUAAUUUAUUUCAGUGCUGUGUAUAUUCAGUUUGUCAUAAAGAAAUGAACGAUGGAAUCGUCAGAAUUGACAUAGUAGCAAAUGUUAUAAUUGAAUGGUCUCCCUUUAAUUGUUUAUCAUUUUAAUAUUUCAGCGUUUAACUGGUUUCGAAAGAUAUUUUAGGCUUGAAAGCAAUGUUUGCAUACCAGGGUAGUUUCAGUUCCAUGUAAAUGUCAGAUGUCCAUGUGUGUUUUUUCACGGGUGAAGACGAUUUUUUAAAGAUGCAUGGUGCCUUUGCCAAGUGUUCAGCAUGGUCAUCGCAGAAUGUUUCAUGUAAAUGUCAGAAGUCCAGGUGUGUGUUUUCAUGGAUGAAUACAAUUCUUAAAAGAUGUUUUGUGUCUUGGCCGCAUGUUCAGCAUUAUCAUGACAGAAUGGUAAAUACUUUACCGUUGUGAUUUUUUAAAAUGUCUAAAAUGAAGGA
rnacentral:lncRNA from 1 species